rnacentral:rRNA from 1 species
UACGAAGGGGGCUAGCGUUGUUCGGAAUUACUGGGCGUAAAGCGCGCGCAGGCGGUCUUCCAAGUCAGUGAUGAAAGCCCGGAGCUCAACUCCGGAACUGCCAUUGAAACUGUGAGACUUGAGGAUGAGAGAGGUGAGUGGAAUUCCCAGUGUAGAGGUGAAAUUCGUAGAUAUUGGGAAGAACACCGGUGGCGAAGGCGGCUCACUGGCUCAUAUCUGACGCUGAGGCGCGAAAGCGUGGGUAGCAAACAGG